GCUUAGCCCUAAACCCAGAUAUUUAACAAACAAAAAUAUCCGCCAGAGAACUACGAGCAAACGCUUAAAACUCUAAGGACUUGGCGGUGCCCUAAACCCCCCUAGAGGAGCCUGUUCUAUAAUCGAUAAUCCACGAUCCACCUCACCAUCUCUUGCCAACACCGCCUAUAUACCACCGUCACCAGCUUACCCUAUGAAGGAUAUAAAAGUAGGCAAAAUAGCCUAACAACGGCUAAUAAGUCAGGUCAAGGUGUAGCUAACUGAGAUGGAAGAAAUGGGCUACAUUUUCUAAAUUAGAAAUUAUCUCACGGAAAGAACCAUGAAACAAGUUCUACAAGCAGGAUUUAGCAGUAAAUGAGGGAUCAGAAUGCCCAAUUUAAGCCGGUCCUAAGGCACGC
rnacentral:rRNA from 1 species